rnacentral:rRNA from 1 species
CCUUACCUGGUCUUGACAUCCACGGAAGUUUUCAGAGAUGAGAAUGUGCCUUCGGGAACCGUGAGACAGGUGCUGCAUGGCUGUCGUCAGCUCGUGUUGUGAAAUGUUGGGUUAAGUCCCGCAACGAGCGCAACCCUUAUCCUUUGUUGCCAGCGAUUAGGUCGGGAACUCAAAGGAGACUGCCAGUGAUAAACUGGAGGAAGGUGGGGAUGACGUCAAGUCAUCAUGGCCCUUACGACCAGGGCUACACACGUGCUACAAUGGCGCAUACAAAGAGAAGCGACCUCGCGAGAGCAAGCGGACCUCAUAAAGUGCGUCGUAGUCCGGAUUGGAGUCUGCAACUCGACUCCAUGAAGUCGGAAUCGCUAGUAAUCGUGGAUCAGAAUGCCACGGUGAAUACGUUCCCGGGCCUUGUACACACCGCCCGUCACACCAUGGGAGUGGGUUGCAAAAGAAGUAGGUAGCUUAACCUUCGGGAGGGCGCUUACCACUUUGUGAUUCAUGACUGGGGUGAAGUCGUAACAAGGUAACCGUAGGGGAACCUGCGGUUGGAUCACCUCCUUACCUUAAAGAAGC